UUUAAGAUGAAAUUUCUUUACUCAAGAAUUUUAAAAUGAAACGAAUAAACAAAAGACUGCUGAAUCUUAUGUCAAAGACAGUGAAUAUUCUGAAGAUGUCAUCGUAUUCAUUGGAGAAGACGCCUUACGAAAAUUUCGAUAAAAUUGUGCAAAGCAUUUUCAUCAAAAGUGAAUCAUGAGCGCCGACGAUGACGUUGAUAACGUUGAUCAACAAGAAUUAGACAGUGUUUUAUGUACUGAACAAGUUACAACCGAUUGUUGAAAUUCAUAUUCCAUUGGAAUCCUACAGUGGCAGUACGGCCUCAAGAACGAACGAUUUGUCUCUGAAUCGAGAUAGUAAAUAUCAAUAUGCUGUCCUGUUGAAUUGCUAGAAAUCCUACGGAGAGGAAUCCAAUCAAGUUGAUGAUGCCAAUUCACUUCAGGAAACAAAUCAAGAUGAACUAAAUGGACUUGAAUUAAUAGACCUUGAGGUCAGCAAUUUCUUUGAGGACAGCAGGCAGAAUAUGGACUGUCAUCUGGAUUUUAUGUCGGUUCCUCCAGAACUUUGAUGACUGUAAUUUGCUAUGGCAUGUCGAAAUACAAUUUGUCUUUUUACAACCAUUGAAAUUUUUACAAUGAUCAUAAAUAUUACAUCCAUAUGCAAUUGUUUAGCAAACUCAA